rnacentral:rRNA from 1 species
ACAACGUGCUACAAUGGUUGGUACAACGAGUUGCGAGUCGGUGACGGCGAGCUAAUCUCUUAAAGCCAAUCUCAGUUCGGAUUGUAGGCUGCAACUCGCCUACAUGAAGUCGGAAUCGCUAGUAAUCGCGGAUCAGCACGCCGCGGUGAAUACGUUCCCGGGCCUU